UUAAGCGACCAAGCGUACACGGUGGAUGCCCUGGCAGUCAGAGGCGAUGAAGGACGUGCUAAUCUGCGAUAAGCGCCGGUAAGGUGAUAUGAACCGUUAUAACCGGCGAUUUCCGAAUGGGGAAACCCAGUGUGACUCGUCACACUAUCAUUAACUGAAUCCAUAGGUUAAUGAGGCGAACCGGGGGAACUGAAACAUCUAAGUACCCCGAGGAAAAGAAAUCAACCGAGAUUCCCCCAGUAGCGGCGAGCGAACGGGGAGGAGCCCAGAGCCUGAAUCAGCAUGUGUGUUAGUGGAAGCGUCUGGAAAGGCGCGCGAUACAGGGUGACAGCCCCGUACACAAAAGCGCACAUGCUGUGAGCUCGAUGAGUAGGGCGGGACACGUGGUAUCCUGUCUGAAUAUGGGGGGACCAUCCUCCAAGGCUAAAUACUCCUGACUGACCGAUAGUGAACCAGUACCGUGAGGGAAAGGCGAAAAGAACCCCGGCGAGGGGAGUGAAACAGAACCUGAAACCGUGUACGUACAAGCAGUGGGAGCACAGGUUUACCUGUGUGACUGCGUACCUUUUGUAUAAUGGGUCAGCGACUUAUAUUCUGUAGCAAGGUUAACCGAAUAGGGGAGCCGAAGGGAAACCGAGUCUUAAUUGGGCGUUAAGUUGCAGGGUAUAGACCCGAAACCCGGUGAUCUAGCCAUGGGCAGGUUGAAGGUUGGGUAACACUAACUGGAGGACCGAACCGACUAAUGUUGAAAAAUUAGCGGAUGACCUGUGGCUGGGGGUGAAAGGCCAAUCAAACCGGGAGAUAGCUGGUUCUCCCCGAAAGCUAUUUAGGUAGCGCCUCGUGAACUCAUCUCCGGGGGUAGAGCACUGUUUCGGCUAGGGGGCCAUCCCGGCUUACCAACCCGAUGCAAACUGCGAAUACCGGAGAAUGUUAUCACGGGAGACACACGGCGGGUGCUAACGUCCGUCGUGAAGAGGGAAACAACCCAGACCGCCAGCUAAGGUCCCAAAGUCAUGGUUAAGUGGGAAACGAUGUGGGAAGGCCCAGACAGCCAGGAUGUUGGCUUAGAAGCAGCCAUCAUUUAAAGAAAGCGUAAUAGCUCACUGGUCGAGUCGGCCUGCGCGGAAGAUGUAACGGGGCUAAACCAUGCACCGAAGCUGCGGCAGCGAACGUAUCACUUAAAACGAUUCAGAAGCUUACGACUGACGGAGCGAAGCGACGUCAAAGCGUUCAUAAAAGUCGAGUCGGUUUAAGGAUACGUUCGUUGGGUAGGGGAGCGUUCUGUAAGCCGUUGAAGGUGGCCUGUGAGGGUUGCUGGAGGUAUCAGAAGUGCGAAUGCUGACAUAAGUAACGAUAAAGCGGGUGAAAAGCCCGCUCGCCGGAAGACCAAGGGUUCCUGUCCAACGUUAAUCGGGGCAGGGUGAGUCGACCCCUAAGGCGAGGCCGAAAGGCGUAGUCGAUGGGAAACGGGUUAAUAUUCCCGUACUUGGUGUUACUGCGAAGGGGGGACGGAGAAGGCUAUGUUGGCCGGGCGACGGUUGUCCCGGUUUAAGCGUGUAGGCUGACUUUCCAGGCAAAUCCGGAGAGUCAAGGCUGAGGCGUGACGACGAGGCACUACGGUGCUGAAGCAACAAAUGCCCUGCUUCCAGGAAAAGCCUCUAAGCAUCAGGUAACAUCAAAUCGUACCCCAAACCGACACAGGUGGUCAGGUAGAGAAUACCAAGGCGCUUGAGAGAACUCGGGUGAAGGAACUAGGCAAAAUGGUGCCGUAACUUCGGGAGAAGGCACGCUGACAUGUAGGUGAAGCGGUUUACCCGUGGAGCUGAAGUCAGUCGAAGAUACCAGCUGGCUGCAACUGUUUAUUAAAAACACAGCACUGUGCAAACACGAAAGUGGACGUAUACGGUGUGACGCCUGCCCGGUGCCGGAAGGUUAAUUGAUGGGGUCAGCGCAAGCGAAGCUCCUGAUCGAAGCCCCGGUAAACGGCGGCCGUAACUAUAACGGUCCUAAGGUAGCGAAAUUCCUUGUCGGGUAAGUUCCGACCUGCACGAAUGGCGUAAUGAUGGCCAGGCUGUCUCCACCCGAGACUCAGUGAAAUUGAACUCGCUGUGAAGAUGCAGUGUACCCGCGGCAAGACGGAAAGACCCCGUGAACCUUUACUAUAGCUUGACACUGAACAUUGAGCCUUGAUGUGUAGGAUAGGUGGGAGGCUUUGAAGCGUGGACGCCAGUCUGCGUGGAGCCGACCUUGAAAUACCACCCUUUAAUGUUUGAUGUUCUAACGUGGACCCGUGAUCCGGGUUGCGGACAGUGUCUGGUGGGUAGUUUGACUGGGGCGGUCUCCUCCUAAAGAGUAACGGAGGAGCACGAAGGUUGGCUAAUCCUGGUCGGACAUCAGGAGGUUAGUGCAAUGGCAUAAGCCAGCUUGACUGCGAGCGUGACGGCGCGAGCAGGUGCGAAAGCAGGUCAUAGUGAUCCGGUGGUUCUGAAUGGAAGGGCCAUCGCUCAACGGAUAAAAGGUACUCCGGGGAUAACAGGCUGAUACCGCCCAAGAGUUCAUAUCGACGGCGGUGUUUGGCACCUCGAUGUCGGCUCAUCACAUCCUGGGGCUGAAGUAGGUCCCAAGGGUAUGGCUGUUCGCCAUUUAAAGUGGUACGCGAGCUGGGUUUAGAACGUCGUGAGACAGUUCGGUCCCUAUCUGCCGUGGGCGCUGGAGAAUUGAGGGGGGCUGCUCCUAGUACGAGAGGACCGGAGUGGACGCAUCACUGGUGUUCGGGUUGUCAUGCCAAUGGCACUGCCCGGUAGCUAAAUGCGGAAGAGAUAAGUGCUGAAAGCAUCUAAGCACGAAACUUGCCCCGAGAUGAGUUCUCCCUGAGACUUAGAGUCUCCUGAAGGAACGUUGAAGACGACGACGUUGAUAGGCCGGGUGUGUAAGCGCAGCGAUGCGUUGAGCUAACCGGUACUAAUGAACCGUGAGGCUUAACCUU
rnacentral:rRNA from 1 species